rnacentral:piRNA from 1 species
UCAGCUUGUUGGAUAGCGACAAUUU